GACGAACGCUGGCGGCGUGCUUAACACAUGCAAGUCGAACGGAAAGGCCCUGCUUUUGUGGGGUGCUCGAGUGGCGAACGGGUGAGUAACACGUGAGUAACCUGCCCUUGACUUUGGGAUAACUUCAGGAAACUGGGGCUAAUACCGGAUAGGAGCUCCUGCUGCAUGGUGGGGGUUGGAAAGUUUCGGCGGUUGGGGAUGGACUCGCGGCUUAUCAGCUUGUUGGUGGGGUAGUGGCUUACCAAGGCUUUGACGGGUAGCCGGCCUGAGAGGGUGACCGGCCACAUUGGGAUUGAGAUACGGCCCAGACUCCUACGGGAGGCAGCAGUGGGGAAUAUUGCACAAUGGGCGGAAGCCUGAUGCAGCAACGCCGCGUGCGGGAUGACGGCCUUCGGGUUGUAAACCGCUUUCGCCUGUGACGAAGCGUGAGUGACGGUAAUGGGUAAAGAAGCACCGGCUAACUACGUG
rnacentral:rRNA from 1 species